ACAUGCAAUCAGCGUUGCUGAAAGCAGCUGUCCAGGUCUCUUGUCGCUUAAAUUCCACUUCUCCUUGGAGCGGGGUGAGCAAUUUUCUCCUUUCUCAUCCUUAAACCCAAGUAGUGAAUGGUGGGGUGGAGUUGGAGGUGGGGAGGGGUCCACCUCCACAUCUUGCUUUCCUCCAAUAUCGAGACUUGGCCAUUGAAACAUUUUUGCUACUGGCUCCUCCAGGGAUUUAGAAACUGGAGAAGAUGAGGCUGUUAGAAAAUGAAAAAUGAUGAGCAGAAGCAAUUUUCCUCAUGGGCUCUGGCCCCAAAAGGAGCAUCAGUCUGUGCUUUGGAUGCAGAUCCUUGUCUGUUCUGUUCUUGAUUUAUUCCUGCAAAUCUGCCCAAGUGCAGUUAAAGUUAAUGAAAAAGAGGAGAGCAGAGAGCAGGGAUCCACAGGGCUGAGACACUGACAGUGCGAGGCACUCAGGCUGGAGCUCCUGGGCAGCCUGGGCUGGAGGUCACAGUCUGCAUAGAACAUGCCAUUCUUAUUGGGAAUACCAUGUCUGUGCCAAGGCCCGUCACAAGGACCUGUCGGGUAAAUAAAGCUGCACCUGCCCAGGCCUCAGGGAAAACUCUGUGAACUCUCUCUCCCUGACUUUAUCAUGGGUCAUUCAAAAUGGGAAGAGGAUUUUGGAAACUGUGUCCAAGGUUGAAGGGGGAGGAGCAGCAGACAGCGAUGUUCGUGUCUGCUGGAGAGGCAAUCAUGCCUCUCCAGUUAUGUCCAUCUUUGAACAGAUUUGGAUUUUCCCUUGAAGCUGGGCUGGAUCCUGACUUCCUCAUAUUGCCAGAGUUAGACAAAUAAUGAGUGUGAUUAGAGAAGACUGGAAGAUUAGAGCUCGCACACCUGGGCUCUGACUGCAGGCCCUUUGCAUCUCUCACCUGGUCUCCUUACUGCAUCUCGGCCCCCCAGCUGCCUUCACUUGGGCUCCCUCAAAGCCACCACCUGAAGGCAGUAGCCAAUGCAAGUACCCACGUGACUGUGUGGCUCAAAAUCCUGUGCUCCUCAUGCCACAGGAUGAAGUCUGAGAUCUCGAAUGUGGCCUCUGAGGCCCCAUAAGAUCAGGCCCUGCUUUGUGUCCUGAUGCCAAGGUCCUCAAUGCUGAGAGCCCUGAGCCCAAGACAAGGUGUGGUGAGUAAGAUCCUACAUAAGCAAAGAAGCUCAUGAGUGAUGGCUUCCUUCUUCCAGCAUCUACGGAGCGCUCCUCCCAGCUAGGUGUUGUGAUCAGUGUGGGGGACAGUUGAGGCCUCUCUGUCACCUCCCUCCCACCUGGUCCUCCCUCCAGCCUAGCCCAAAUGUUGGAGCUUCCUGCCUCUUCCCUCUGGCCAUGUCUCUGGCUUCAGCCCAUGCCUUCCCCUACACCUGAAGUGCUUCUUAUACCUCUGCUCCUGCCCAGCCCUUCUUCAUCCUUGCAUAUCUGGCUCCCAAUGACUCUUCCCCUAAGAAGCCCUCUGAGUCUCUGCCCAGGCCUUCAUCCUUGCAUAUCUGGCUCCCAAUGACUCUUUCCCUAAGAAGCCCUCUGAGUCUCUGCCCAGGCCCCUCUUCUGUUCCCACAGGGCUCCUUCGUCUGUGCCUCCAUAACGUGCUGUGCACAACUUUAUAACAACUCAGCACAGUGAAUUCAAACAUCCCUUGAUUACCUGCCCAGAACUGGCACUCUGCAAAUGUUUAUGAAAGGACUAAGGGAAGGAAGGGAGAGAAGGAAGGAGAGAAGAAGGGAGGAAGAGAGGGAGUAAAGGGGA
rnacentral:lncRNA from 1 species